rnacentral:rRNA from 1 species
UACGGGGGGAGCAAGCGUUGUUCGGAUUUACUGGGCGUAAAGGGCGCGUAGGCGGCGCAACAAGUCACUUGUGAAAUCUCCGGGCUUAACCCGGAGCGGCCAAGUGAUACUGUCGUGCUAGAGUGCGGAAGGGGCUACUGGAAUUCUUGGUGUAGCGGUGAAAUGCGUAGAUAUCAAGAGGAACACCUGCGGCGAAGGCGGGUUGCUGGGCCGACACUGACGCUGAGGCGCGAAAGCUAGGGGAGCGAACGGG